rnacentral:rRNA from 1 species
AUUGAACGCUGGCGGCAGGCCUAACACAUGCAAGUCGAGCGGUAGCACAGGAGAGCUUGCUCUCUGGGUGACGAGCGGCGGACGGGUGAGUAAUGUCUGGGAAACUGCCUGAUGGAGGGGGAUAACUACUGGAAACGGUAGCUAAUACCGCAUAACGUCGCAAGACCAAAGUGGGGGACCUUCGGGCCUCAUGCCAUCAGAUGUGCCCAGAUGGGAUUAGCUAGUAGGUGGGGUAACGGCUCACCUAGGCGACGAUCCCUAGCUGGUCUGAGAGGAUGACCAGCCACACUGGAACUGAGACACGGUCCAGACUCCUACGGGAGGCAGCAGUGGGGAAUAUUGCACAAUGGGCGCAAGCCUGAUGCAGCCAUGCCGCGUGUAUGAAGAAGGCCUUCGGGUUGUAAAGUACUUUCAGCGAGGAGGAAGGCGAUAAGGUUAAUAACCUUGUCGAUUGACGUUACUCGCAGAAGAAGCACCGGCUAACUCCGUGCCAGCAGCCGCGGUAAUACGGAGGGGUGCAAGGCGUUAAUCGGAAUUACUGGGCGUAAAGCGCACGCAGGCGGUCUGUCAAGUCGGAUGUGAAAUCCCCGGGCUCAACCCUGGGAACUGCAUCCCGAAACUGGCAGGCUAGAGUCUUGUAGAGGGGGGUAGAAUUCCCAGGUGUAGCGGUGAAAUGCGUAGAGAUCUGGAGGAAUACCGGUGGCGAAGGCGGCCCCCUGGACAAAGACUGACGCUCAGGUGCGAAAGCGUGGGGAGCAAACAGGAUUAGAUACCCUGGUAGUCCACGCUGUAAACGAUGUCGACUUGGAGGUUGUUCCCUUGAGGAGUGGCUUCCGGAGCUAACGCGUUAAGUCGACCGCCUGGGGAGUACGGCCGCAAGGUUAAAACUCAAAUGAAUAGACGGGGGCCCGCACAAGCGGUGGAGCAUGUGGUUUAAUUCGAUGCAACGCGAAGAACCUUACCUACUCUUGACAUCCAGAGAACUUAGCAGAGAUGCUUUGGUGCCUUCGGGAACUCUGAGACAGGUGCUGCAUGGCUGUCGUCAGCUCGUGUUGUGAAAUGUUGGGUUAAGUCCCGCAACGAGCGCAACCCUUAUCCUUUGUUGCCAGCGAUUCGGUCGGGAACUCAAAGGAGACUGCCAGUGAUAAACUGGAGGAAGGUGGGGAUGACGUCAAGUCAUCAUGGCCCUUACGAGUAGGGCUACACACGUGCUACAAUGGCAUAUACAAAGAGAAGCGACCUCGCGAGAGCAAGCGGACCUCAUAAAGUAUGUCGUAGUCCGGAUCGGAGUCUGCAACUCGACUCCGUGAAGUCGGAAUCGCUAGUAAUCGUGGAUCAGAAUGCCACGGUGAAUACGUUCCCGGGCCUUGUACACACCGCCCGUCACACCAUGGGAGUGGGUUGCAAAAGAAGUAGGUAGCUUAACCUUCGGGAGGGCGCUUACCACUUUGUGAUUCAUGACUGGGGUG